CAAAAUCUUCUAAUAUUUGUCUAUUCUUCAUACAGGUAAUUUCUAUGAGCAAUAAGACUCAGCUUCCAAAUACAGACCAGAAAGGAAACUGGUUUCACUAAGGAGUAGACAACAGAAUACCAAGUAGAAUUUGUCCAGAAGGAAAGGGAUCUUCUAUAAACAAUUUAGGCUACACUUCUAGAUGAAGUUGCAACUGGAGGAAAAUGAGGAAAAAUGCUUCCUUGCUACUCUGCAAGCCUGCAUCUAUUUAAGCCAAGCAUAUUGUGGUAACUCAAGCUGGAAGAAGAACACUGAACUAGAAAAAUAUUUGUUCUAACCAUGUAUGGUCAGAAACACCU
rnacentral:lncRNA from 1 species